rnacentral:lncRNA from 1 species
UGAGAUCAAAAAUCUGUCACUCUGUGAAGGAGUUGUGGUGGUGUGGUGGCUGUACACUGUCUCUACUACUUAGACUGCCCAUUGAGGAUCCCAAACCCUGGAAGUAAGAGAGAGAGUAUGGGGACUGGAAGACCUCCCCUUGGUCAAGGUGGAUCUGAUCAGAGAGCAUCUUGCCAAAAUCAACUCGCACAAAUCUGAGAGCCCCAAAGAGGUGCAGCUACAUGUGCUGAGGAAGCAGGCAGAAGUGAUUGCUGAACCAUUCUCUAUUAUCUUUGAAAGGCCCUGGAGAAUGGGAGAGGUCCCUGAAUACUGGAGGACAGCCAAUGUCACACCAACCUUCAAAAAGGGCAAGAAGGACAAUGUAAUGUGCGGCAUUUCCCAGUUUUGUCAUCACAGGUGGAAUAUAACAGUUUGACUCUAGCAUCACAGAGCAGAAGCAAAGAUUCUACUUCAAAGCUCUUCUGAAAGAAGUGUACUUGAGCCAACAUGAAUUUACUGUGUAUUCUAGAAUGAUAACGCUACUAUUUGUUUUCCCCCACUCAUUGAUAAUGCUUUAAUGGAAAGAUCAAAA